UUAAUGAGCUUAUAUUUCAUUUGUGCUAAUUCAGUGGUGCUCAAUAAGAUAAACUUCUGUUGCUUAUACUAGUUAAAAUAGAAACAGCCAUAAAAUAUGCUUCUUAUUCUCCUUUAACCAAGCUUCUCUUUUAUGAUUUGUCUAGUUGUCUGGGCUUUUGCUGUUGCAACUGGAAGAGGCAAAGAAUAAUGAUUAUUAAAAAGUAGGUAUGUGCAAUAUUGAGAUCAUCCGGUGGUUCUUCAUUGCAAUCCAACAGGCAAAGGAGUAAGAAAGAAUCCUGGAAUCUUAAUUCUGGUUCUCAAGGACACGGGAAUGAUAGAAUUGGAAUAUUCCAUAAUUACUCAUUUGCUUUACCCCACAUUGCAAAUGCCACUGUCACAGAAGAACAAUACUAAUACUACCACCACCAAUUAUAGUCACAGAAACAGGCUUUGCCAGGCAAUGUUUUUGCCAUCACUUCUGAGGACAACUCACUUGAGAUCUUUCAAGAACUUCUGAAGACGGGUAUUUCAUAAACAAAGCUCUUCAUCAGAAGGCAAAGGAGGAGACAAAUAGAACUGUUUUUAGAACAUGAAAUGCAGUAAUUAUAUACAAUCCAUAGAUGUGUCUUAUACUUAUAGAAGCCCAGGUUUGACUGGGGUCAUGGAGAUGGAUGACCCCAGACUUUCGCAGAAUGCUUAUCUUUCACCCUGUUGUUUUGCACACUGUUACUUGUUAUCUAUGGAACUCAAAAGACAAUCAAUUCAGCAAUUCCACAUCUGAGUAUAUACCCCAAAUAAUUCAAAGCAGGGACUUCAAGAGAUAUUUGUAUACACUCAUGUUCACAGCGCAUUGUUUACAAUAGCCAAAUGGUGGCAGCAACCCAAGUGUCUAUCAACAGAUCAAAGGAUAUACAAAGUAUGGUAUAUACAUACAUCAGAAUAUUAUUCAGCCCUUAAAAGGAAGGAAAUUCUGACACAUGCUUCAAGAAUGAACCUUGGGGACAUUAUGCUACAUGAAAUAAACCAGUCACAAAAGGACAACAUUUUAUGAUCCCACUUACAUGAGGUUCAUAGAGCAGUCAAACUUGUAGAGACAGAAAGUAGCAUAGAGGUUGCCAGAGCUGAGAGGAGUGGGGAAAGGAGAGUUAGUGUUUAAUGGGUACAGAGUUUCAGUUUUGCAAGAUGAAAAGAGUUCUGUGGUUGGGUGGUGGUGGUGGUUACACAACAAUAUGAAGGUACUUAAUGCCACUGAACUGUAAACUUUAAUUAAAUUAAUUAAUUAGUUAAUUAAUUAUUUAUUGAGACACAGUCUUCAUCUGUCCCCCAGGCUGGAGUGUCAUGGUGCAAUCUCGGCUCACUGCAAUUUCUGCCUCCUGGGUUCAAACAAUUCUCAUGCCACAGCCUCACAAGUAGCUGGGAUUACAGGCGUGCACCACUACACCUGGCCAAUUUUUUGUAUUUUUAGUAGAGAUGGGGUUUCACCAUGUUGGCCACGCUGGUCUUGUUCGAACUACUGACCUCAAGUGAUCUGCACACCUCAGCCUCCCAAAGUGCUGGGAUUACAGGUGUGAGCCACUGCAUGUAGCCAACGGUACACCUUAAAAUGGUUAAGAUGAUAAAUGUUACGUUAUAUGUAUUUUACCACAUUUUUUAAAAAUCAAGUAUUUGGGGGCAUGGAGAGAGGAGGGUCUAAUGCCAGACAGAGGUGGGACCAAUUAGUGACUGAUUUCACACAAACUAUAGCACAUGCUGUCAGAACCUUGCCCAUAGCCCUUUGGCCAGUUACCAUUUUUCCUUGUCAAUCUGAAUUCCAACUGCCAGCACCAGCACCUCUUUGCCUGACAGAUUGCAAUGAAGCUGCUGGAACCUGCUUUUCCUGAGCAUGUAGCAGACCAGGCAUGUCAGGGCAUUAAACUCUCUAGGGAAGUCAAUGGCUGAUGGGAACUGGUGUACGAAUAUUCCAGUUCCCUCACUACUUAAAUGGAGUGGAUAACUGUGAAGCAUGUGUUUUAUACAGUGUCCCAAGUUCCAUAGCAGAAUUAUGCUCUUAUUUCCAUUAGAACUUGCUUAAUGAUGCACCUUUAUUGGCUUUUUCCUUUCCUUUUUUGUGAUGGCUAAUUUUUGUAUCAACUUGGCUAGGCCACUGUACCCAGAUAUUUGGUCAAACAUUAUUCUUGAUGUUGGUAUGAAAGUAUCAUUUAGAUGAGAUUGGCAUUUGAAUUAGCAGACUUUGGGCAAAGCAGAUUACCUUCCUGAAUGUGGGUGGGCCUCAUCCAAUCAGUUGAAGGCCUUAAUAGAAAAAGACUCUUCUGCCCUGAAGAAGAGGAAAUUAUGCCAGCAGGCUGCCUUCAUACUUGAAAUGCAAUGUUAAUUCUUCCCUGGGCCUCCAGCAUGCCAGCCUAUCCUGUAGAGUUUAGACUUGCGCCUCCACAAUUGUGUGAGGCAAAUCCUUAAAAUAAACCUCUCUCUCUCUCUCUAUAUAUAUAUAUAUAUAUAAUAUAAAAAAUUUGUGCGUAUAUGUGUAUAUAUUAUACAUAUAUACAUAUAUAUGCAUAUUUUCUGCUGCUUUGGAGAAUGCUAAUACAUUUUCCUAUUCCUGUGCCACUGUUCUCAGAAUACUUUUCCAUUUAAUCUAUAUUUGCCCUUGAAUCCUUGACUUAGAGCAGUGGUUCUCCCUCCACAGCACAUUUGGCAAUGUCAGGAGACAUUUUUGGUUGUUAUAGGAGUGGGUCUAGUGGGAAGAGGCCAGGAUGCUGCUCAACACCCUAUAAUGUACAGGACAGCAGCCUCUUACAUGAAAGACUCACCCAGCUGAUAUGGUUUGGCUGUGUCCCCACCCAAAUCUCAUCUUGAAUUGUACUCCCAUAAUUCCCACGUGUUGUGGGAGGGACCCGGUGGGAGAUAAUUGAAUCAUGGGGGCGGUUUCCCCAUACUGUUCUUGUGGUAGUGAAUAAGAUCUGAUGGUUUUGUCAGGAGUUUCUGCUUUUGGGUCUUCCUCAUUCUCUAUUUACCUGAUGCAAUGUAAGAUGGGACUUGCUCCUCCUUGCCUUCCACCAUGAUUGUGAGGUGUCCCCAGCCAUGUAAAACUGCAAGUUGAAUU
rnacentral:lncRNA from 1 species